UAAGAGUUAGUUUAAUAAGAACCUCUGAUUUCGGCUCAGAAAGUUUUGGUUAAAGCCCAAAACCCUUGA
rnacentral:tRNA from 1 species